rnacentral:rRNA from 1 species
UAGAGUUUGAUCCUGGCUCAGGAUGAACGCUGGCGGCAGGCCUAACACAUGCAAGUCGAGCGCCCGUAGCAAUACGGGAGCGGCAGACGGGAGAGUAACACGUGGGAACGCGCCCUUCGGUUCGGAAUAACUCAGGGAAACUUGAGCUAAUACCGGAUACGCCCUUACGGGGAAAGAUUUAUUGCCGAAGGAACGGCCCGCGUCCGAUUAGCUAGUUGGUGAGGUAAUGGCUCACCAAGGCGACGAUCGGUAGCUGGUCUGAGAGGAUGACCAGCCUCACUGGGACUGAGACACGGCCCAGACUCCUACGGGAGGCAGCAGUGGGGAAUAUUGGACAAUGGGCGCAAGCCUGAUCCAGCCAUGCCGCGUGGAUGAUGAAGGCCCUAGGGUUGUAAAGUCCUUUUAACGGGGAAGAUAAUGACGGUACCCGUAGAAUAAGCCCCGGCUAACUUCGUGCCAGCAGCCGCGGUACGCC